rnacentral:tRNA from 1 species
ACCGCGAUAGCUCAGUUGGUAGAGCAUCUGCCCGGUAAGCAGAAUGUCGCCUGUUCGAUUCCAGCUCGCGGCG